rnacentral:tRNA from 1 species
AGUCUUAUAUUCAAAAAUGAUUUUAAAUUGCAAAUUUAAAGGUGGAGGGAUCCUAAGGCUU